UACGAAGGGGGCUAGCGUUGCUCGGAAUUACUGGGCGUAAAGAGCUCGUAGGUGGUUUGUCGCGUUGUUCGUGAAAACUCACAGCUCAACUGUGGGCGUGCGGGCGAUACGGGCAGACUGGAGUACUGCAGGGGAGACUGGAAUUCCUGGUGUAGCGGUGGAAUGCGCAGAUAUCAGGAGGAACACCGGUGGCGAAGGCGGGUCUCUGGGCCGUUACUGACGCUGAGGAGCGAAAGCGUGGGGAGCGAACAGG
rnacentral:rRNA from 1 species